rnacentral:tRNA from 1 species
CACGCUUUUAGUUCAAUUGGUAGAACAUAGGUUUCCAAAACCUAAUGUCAUAGGUUCAAGUCCUAUAAAGCGUGU